UUUGGUUAUUUUAAUUCUACUAACUUGGUUCAAUAAUAAAUUGCUGUAAUCUGUUUUUCCAUUUCCAUUCACUUGCGUAUGGAUCAGGUUAUUUAAAUUGGCUCUCUGUUCAUGUAAAAUGUUCACUAACAAAAUGGGAAAGCUGAAACUUGUAAGGACGGCGUACAAAUAGCAUUUUAUGAACGAAUGAUACAAAAUGCUUCCUAAAUCAUAUGAUGAUGAUUUUCUCCGUAGCGUUUGUCCGUUUCUCCCCCCCCCGUUCUAAAUUUCUGAUAAGUGCUCCAUCUUGUCAUACAUGUUUGUUUAUGGUCAGGCAGAAGGUGUGACCAUUUUUAAAAAUUUUUUUUUAAAAGAAAACACGUUUUUCGAUACAGCAGUUUCUCCUGGUGACUCUCUCGUUAUCCGUAACGGCAAAGUGCAGCGGGAAAGACACACCAUUAACCAGGGCGGGGAAUGAAGUGAUUUAAGAUGUCAGUGGGGCUUCUGAAAAGCCGUGCUCGCCUUGUUUUUUUUUCAAAACAGCGCCGAAUGAGGGGGGGGGAAAGAUUGGGCGGGCGGUUCCAGUUCAAAUCCGAAAAGGUCUUCAACAAUUUCGGGAGAUUGCCUACUUUGCCCGAACUGGUUGCAGAUUGCCGCGAACUUGUAAUAUUUAAUAACUUUUUUUUAACUAAUCGAACGAAUGCAGAAAAGUUACUCUGCUUUUCGUCAGCCGUCCAUUUUCACGGGAGCUGCUGUUCAAAAUUCUUCCAUUUACAGACUAACUUUUGUGGGUUGUUUUUAUUUGUGUGUUUGGUGGGGGGGGGGAGACGGCUGAUUUAACAGCCCCUUUGUUAAGAAUGUUUGAGCUUUAGGGCUGUGCUCUGAUUCCCCCCCCCAAAAAAAGGAGGAACAUGUAAAUCAGAAUCUACCCCGUGCCCUGGAUCGGGAAAGGCUUGCCUCCAGAUCCAUGAAAUUACAAAUAAGAAUCGACUGGAUUCUCUCUUUUUUUUGAAAAAAAUGCACACUGAUUGGCAAGCCCCGUGACAUCACUGCUUUUUACCCCUCCCUCUCCCUCGAUUUUUUUUUACAGCUACAAUCCGGUGUGUGUUGUCCAUGUGCCUUCAAGCUUUUUUUUUGUGAAUGUACCAGGCACCGAGAAUGCGAUCAGCAUGAGGGGGCGAAGUAGGGUGAAUAAAAUGGCUGACACUGAGCAGACAAGGGUUCACACGCCACAUUGGGCAGAGAUUUGUGAUCAUCAAAUGAGCUGCAAGUGAGUUUAUAGAACUGGAACGGGUUGAAGGAAUACUGCUUUUAGGUGAUGUAUGCAGCCCAUUGAUCCCACUGUUAAAGGCACCCAUGGGACCUGGAGUGUACCAGUGGAUCAAAUAUUCCGAUUGAUCAAGAGGUCCACAUAAUCAUGUGACAACACACUAUUAGAAACACGAUGCAGGGGGUAUGCACGUCACUGUUAUACUUUAUUUACAGCAUAAAUUACUCAAAACAACUCUGCCUUAAAUAAAACCUGCGGGCGGAGAGCCUUCUCACACUCAACUGACUACUUGAAUAUUGCGAUAUUUGAGGAGAAAUUGUCUCUAAAUUGAACAGCAAGUAUACUUACACUGAGGUAAAUUUUUUUUAAAAAACCAUAAUAAUUGGACAGAAUGUUGUUUACUGAAUCACAGUAUCUGAAGGUUUAUAAUUUUUGCCGGUUUAUAGGGGGCCGUUUAAAGCCAUGUCUGCUGUAAAUAGUAAAGUGGCUUGUGACACUUGUAAUCUAGACAUCUGGGUUAUUGGUUCCGAGCACCUCGAAAUCCUACCUGGGCAGUUUGAGAAAGGAGUCCUGGCAAAUUUUUAAAAGUACAACUGAAUAUCAGUGAAGUGGUCACGUAAUGCUUGCUUUCAGUCUUAUUCAAAGAAAGGAACUUGAAUCACUGGUAAGAAAACCUACCACCCUCAUCCAGCCUGGCCUCUGCAUGACUCUAGGGUCCUUACAGAUGCGAGGACAAUUAAGCGUCACUCACAAGUGGCUAGUUAGAAGCUCGCUUAGAACAGCAGGCGUAGAUAGUAAAUGUUGGCAUUGCAACUCAUGCCCGCUUUCGCAAUGAUAUUAUUUAAAUAAACAUGCCACUUCAGCAAAUACAAGUCAAGGAGGGUGUUAUGUAUUCGUGUCAACCUGACCCUCACCCUGACCCUGAGGUGCCAGGCUUUAGAACUUGAAGCGGUGCCAUUGUAGAGAGAGGAGGUUUGUUGGGAUUCUCCAUGUGCUGGGAGAGUGACCCGUGGCAUUACCAGUGGCUGUCUUCUGUGUCUAGUCUCUGGCACCUUGAAGGCCUAGACACCGCCCUGGCCUCCUGUCUGUUUCUGGAUUCUCCUCCAUUUCUUUCCUGACUUUGGGGCUGACCGGUCACUUGCUGACGGCAGCUGUUUCCUGUGGGAUCCGGGGGAAGGAAGAGUAACCUUGUGUGUAAGCAGAUGGUUUUCUUUUCCAAAGCUUUGGCCUUGUUUUUCUGUUCUAAAAGAAAAAUUAGUCUGUCGUGAUACUGGACUUUACAAUCUCCCCACUCAUUGCUCUGCUCCCUCUGCUGUUUCUAUCUCAUCGCUACAUCCCCUUUGUCUGUUGAGCAAGAGUGAAUGUGAAAAAUGAUUGGUUAUGGCAGAAACCACAGAAAAGAAUUGGAAAGGGGAAAUCUCUGAGCAGUGGAGUGAAUAUCCCUUUUGCACUGAUCUUAAUUGAACAGUCAACACCUCUUCAAGUCAGUGCCCAUCGUUGCAGUUGUGGGUCAUUACAAUCUUUAGCCCAGUGAUUUCAAAUUUCUUCUUUGUGACAAAGUACGAGGUAACUCUGAUUUGGAAGUGCUUUGCUUCACUAAGGGCUUAUAAAAAGAAAAGGAUAAGGUGGUGGCCAACUCUAGUUUUAAAGUAGAGUACCACAUAGAGUAGGGAGUUUAAUUCAAUUAUCAGCAUGGUGGUGGGGGUGGGUAAAGAAUGUUAGAAACAAUACAGAAAUAAAUGGUUUGAGACACUGAGCUUCGUGAAAAUCAUUAGAAAUGUUUGGGGAGGGAGGGAGUUGAGAUCAGCCAAAGAGCAACAGGGUUAGGAGGUCUAUUUUAUUCCUAAUGUCCAGUAUUCAAAUACAGACCUUUUUAAUAUUUCAAGAUGCUUUGUACUUAUACAAAGCAGAUCGUAAUUUUAUAACCGCUUCUUGGAGCUUGCCAUUUGACUUUUUUUUUUUUAAGCUUAAACAGCUCA